rnacentral:rRNA from 1 species
GACGAACGCUGGCGGCGUGCUUAACACAUGCAAGUCGAACGGAAAGGCCCUGCUUUUGUGGGGUGCUCGAGUGGCGAACGGGUGAGUAACACGUGAGUAACCUGCCCUUGACUUUGGGAUAACUUCAGGAAACUGGGGCUAAUACCGGAUAGGAGCUCCUGCUGCAUGGUGGGGGUUGGAAAGUUUCGGCGGUUGGGGAUGGACUGGCGGCUAACCAGCUUGUGGGUGGGGUAGUGGCUUACCAAGGCUUUGACGGGUAGCCGGCCUGAGAGGGUGACCGGCCUCAUGGGGACUGAGGGACGGCCCAGACUCCUACGGGAGGCAGAAGGGGGGAAUAUGGCACAAUGGGCGGAAGCCUGAUGCAGCAACGCCGCGUGCGGGAUGACGGCCUUCUGGGUGUAAACCGCUUUCGCCUGUGACGAAGCGUGAGUGACGGUAAUGGGUAAAGAAGCACCGGCUAACUACGUG